rnacentral:rRNA from 1 species
AUACGUAGGGAGCGAGCGUUGUCCGGAAUUACUGGGCGUAAAGCGCACGCAGGCGGGCAAUUAAGUCAGAUGUGAAAGCCCCGAGCUUAACUUGGGAAUUGCAUCUGAAACUGGUUGGCUAGAGUCUUGUAGAGGGGGGUAGAAUUCCACGUGUAGCGGUGAAAUGCGUAGAGAUGUGGAGGAAUACCGGUGGCGAAGGCGGCCCCCUGGUCAAAGACUGACGCUCAGGUGCGAAAGCGUGGGGAGCAAAGAGGAUUAGAUACCCUGGUAGUCCACGCUGUAAACGAUGUCGAUUUAGAGGUUGUGGUCUUGACCCGUGGCUUCUGGAGCUAACGCGUUAAAUCGACCGCCUGGGGAGUACGGCCGCAAGGUUAAAACUCAAAUGAAUUGACGGGG